UUGGAAUAAAGUAAUAAACUUGAUUUGUAAAGAAUAUUCUAGAAUUAGAAGAAAAGAAAGAAAAAAAGAAAUUAGAAGAAAUUUGUAGAAAUAUCUAGAAUAGUUGAGAAUGAAGAAAAAUGUAGAAUGGUUGAGAAUGUAUUAGAGAAAGAGGAAUAAUCUAGAAUAGUUGAGAAAAUUAAAGUUAGGAUGAAAAGAAAUAGAUAAACUAGAAAAUUCUAGAG
rnacentral:lncRNA from 1 species